CUCAAGACAGGGCCAGGCUUGAACCUGGGAGGGAAGAACAGAAGCAGAGUCCGCAGAGAAUGCUGCUUACUGGCUUGUUCUCCAUGUUUUGCUAGGCUCUUUUAUAUAACCCAGGACCAUUUUCCCAGAGUGGCACUGCCUCCAGUGGGCUGGGCCCACACAUAUCAAUCAUUAAUCAAGAAAACACAUCCAGACUUGCCUCCAGGCCAGUCUGAUAGAGGUAUCGUCUCCACUGAGCUUCCCGAUUUCCAGAUGACUUGAGCUUGUGACAAGGCUGUGCGGAGCUGUGGAAGACUGUUAAAUAAUCUUCACGCUUCUUCAUCAAUUCAUUGCUGCACACCAGUUGCUUUUCCUAUUGAAGGAAAUAGUAAACAUUAUUUCCUGGACUUCUGCAUAAAGUGACUAGAAGUGAAAUUUUCGACCACAUGGUCACAUUGCUAUCCAUCAUCAGACUAAAGUGAAUUGGAGAACCACUGAGCUGUCUCCUAAGAAGAAUGGAGAUAUGGCUACUUAGCACUUACAGAGUCUUGACUGCAAAAGGUUUUGUCUUUUGUUGAGACAUGGGUCUGUAGCUCCGGCUGGUUUAUGAACUUGGUAUGUACCUGAAGGUAGCUUUGAACUACUGAUCUUGCUCCAGCCCCCUGGGCACUGAUAUGGCAGGCAAGCCUGACUUGAUUGCAGAUAUUAAAAAUAGUUUUAUUCUCUGA